rnacentral:rRNA from 1 species
GACGAACGCUGGCGGCGUGCUUAACACAUGCAAGUCGAACGAAGUGGCGAACGGGUGAGUAACGCGUAAUCAACCUGCCCUUCAGAGGGGGACAACAGUUGGAAACGACUGCUAAUCCCGCAUACUGAAGGAGGGGAGUGCGUCUGAUUAGAUAGUUGGCGGGGUAACGGCCCACCAAGGCGAUGAUCAGGAGCCGGUCUGGGAGGAGGAACGGCCACAUUGGGACUGCGACACGGCCCAGACUCCUACGGGAGGCAGCAGUGGGGAAUCUUCCGCAAUGGACGAAAGGCUGACGGAGCAACGCCGCGUGAGUGAUGACGGCCUUCGGGUUGUAAAGCUCUGUUAAUCGGGACGCGGUACCGGAAUAGAAAGCCACGGCUAACUACGUGCCAGCAGCCGCGGUAAUUC